CAUCAAGCGGGGAGAAGCAGGCUCGCUGGUUCUUCAUCAGGGCUUUGGAGCUGUGCUCCAGCUCCGUUCCAGCUCCUGGCAAAAAUCUGCAGCUCCACUGUUCCGGAGCUGCUCCAGCUCCAGGCUCCGCUUCAAAGCCCUGCUUUGAACUCAAUCUUCUGUAUUGAAGGAUUCCUGUUUACCAAUGCCGGGUAGCCCCUAAGUGGAUACGUCCUGAAUAUGGAUUCAAUAAUAUCUGAAGUUAAGUUAUACCUCAGACCAUUGCAGCCAUCAGUUUGAGGCCGAACAUCAGCCUACGGGAACAACAUAAUAAUAUUGUCAUAAACUGGGUCAAACGUACCAGAAAAGCUGCAGAGAUGCCCACAUCCUGCUUACUAGGUGCCACAGAAUUAUCCACAGCGUUCAAGCUUAAACGGUUGGCCCAGAAUUCUUCAGCACUAAUUACUUGGCUCACCACGAGGUCUUUAUAAAGCUGAAACAAAACAGGAUCUUCUUGCAGCAUUCUAGUAAAAGAAUGUAUUGAAUAAAAUUGAAACAUUCCACACUAAUUCAGCAGGAUUUCCAUGUCAAUAAGUCAUAUGGGUUCCUGAAGGGAACAGAUCAUAGCGAGUAUUAAUUGCAUACCUCUGGGAGGGGAAGGAGGCAUAGGCUGUGGAGGUUACCCUACAGUGCUCGGCCAGGUGCAGUAACCCAAUCUGUCUCCGGAGGGCAGGAAGAGGAGAGGAGAGAAGAGGAAGUGGCUCCCAUCCCAGCUCCGGUAGAAAGGAAGGGAUCCUGAUCCUGCUGUGCCCCACUGCCCCCAGCCAGAACAUCGUUCUGGGGACCAACCUCCCACUACACCCUAUUGUCCUUGGCUGGCUCCUUGCUUUGGGGACUACCCCCUCUGUGUUCCACUGCCCCCGACUGGCCCCUCGCUCUGGGGGUACCCCAUGGAGAACAAAGGCCUGCCCUAAUUUAAAGGUGGCCCAGAAGGGGCUGAGAACAGAAUCUAGAAGGUGGGCUGAAGAGUAACCCAAAAGGGGCAGAAGAAUUGUUAGUCUGACCUUCUGGUUGGACCUUUGCAAUCCAAGGGAGAGACUGAACUUUAAGUGUGACCAGGCCGUAGCGCCAGGUUGCUCGAAGACGACGACCACUGCAGAACAGAUCAGCCUACAAAAGGAAGUGCGGGACUGGAAGAACCCCUGCGAUGUUGUGUACUGCCAUGAGGAGGAGCUCUGACAGCAACUUUCUCCCAACCACAGACUCGCACAGUGAGUUUGUGUCAGAGAUAUGAGCCUUUCCAACACAAAAAGGAAUCUGGGAUGCCCACUGUUAACUGGAAUUGCUGCCUGGCAAAAGGGACAAUACUUAAAGCCAUGUAAUUUAAUCCUCAGUACUGACAAGAACAUCCUGAUCAGAGGUUCGGGGAGGGCGAGGGAAUCAAAAUAAGGAAGGUAAAAAUUUCCAAACUAAUCAAGUAACUAUCCUAGCACUAAUUAUAUAUAGACUAUGAAAAAGGUAGCAUUGAGACCUGGACACUGAGAAGCUCCAUUUUGCAGUUAUGGAUGGUGAGAAGGAACUGAGUGGCAGGGGGACCCACUCUGCCCUUCAUGUCCUUGGUACAAGGACACUCAAUGUGCAAGUGCAGCUCCAAAGGACAAUGCUGGCCAAAAAAGACUCCAGUCCAAGCACACGCUCAGCAAGCAGAAUAUAUAUAUAUAGACAGACAGACAAGAACUCAAAUAGCCUAUGUUUCGUUUUGUUGUAGGCAGUGCAUUUAUUGCACUUCACAUGUUAUGUCAAGACAGUUGAAGAAUUUCCUACUCAUAUUCUCACGUUACCUAUCAGAAAUUCCAAUCUAGAAAUACUACAGAAGUAGACAGAAAUCAGAGUUUGAGAAGGUUAUUUAGAAAUGGGUAGUUUAAAAAAAAGCCUAAUUACUAAUGAAAUAGCAAAUU